rnacentral:lncRNA from 1 species
GGAACAAAAAGUAAAUAAAAAGACCCUAAGGACUUAAAGACAAAUAGACCUAAGCACAAAUUGGUAAAAUAUACAAAAUGUAAACCUAGACUCUAAACCUAUAAGACGGUAAGGAGCUAAAAUACACAAAAAGCAAAAAAAGAAGGACACGCCUAAAAUAUCAAUAGAAAAAGCGUCUGAAAGAGAGCAUCCGCAACAAUACAGAGGAGACCCCCCUCCUCCAAGAUCUCGUCUUCCUCCUCCACCCAAACGACCCCUCGAUUCCUCCUCUCUUCACCAGCAGCGAGCUUGCCAUUACACCCCAAAACAACGACCCAGCCAUCCCCUUCAUCUUCCUUGCAACAACUCUCCUUCAAAAAACCUCCAUUAACACCAGCUGCAAAUUAGCGACUGAACAACCAUGAACACUGGCCAUUGUCGCACCUUUUAACCACGAAAAUCUGCUGCCAAACACUAGUCAAGAGUGUUGCUGAACAGCAUGAAAACCACCUGUAAACAGUGACUCAAAUGCUACCUCUUUCACCGAGAAACGGUCUUGAAAGAGUCCCAAAAACCAUUUCACCUGAGCUUUGAGGUUGUUAGCGAGGUUGCCAUUCGUGGUUCCUAUGGGAGUUUCUGUUGCGAUGCUUGUUUUCCGUUUGGUUUAGAUAUUGGGGUUCGUUGUCACAUUUGUACGUGUUAACUGAAAAAAUCAGUUUGGAGAAUCUAUCUCGU